rnacentral:rRNA from 1 species
UACGUAGGGUGCGAGCGUUGUCCGGAAUUACUGGGCGUAAAGAGCUCGUAGGUGGUUUGUCGCGUUGUUCGUGAAAACUCACAGCUCAACUGUGGGCGUGCGGGCGAUACGGGCAGACUAGAGUACUGCAGGGGAGACUGGAAUUCCUGGUGUAGCGGUGGAAUGCGCAGAUAUCAGGAGGAACACCGGUGGCGAAGGCGGUCUGCUGGGCAGUUGCUGACACUGAGGCGCGACAGCGUGGGGAGCAAACAGG